rnacentral:lncRNA from 1 species
GAAUCCUUACCCGUCCGAUCAUUAUGAAUUCUAUUACGCUUACCCGUUACCCGUUGGAUCAAUCUUGAGUGAACUAAAGUUUGAGACUUAGAAAAUUUUGAGCUGAUCGAAAAAGUUUUUUCUUCAUGGACCGACUUAGAAAUGUUCAAAACGCAUAAUGAUGGAGAAAGUUUUGGCUCAGGAGAAUUUUAAAGCACAUUUUGACAUAUAAACUUUCAGACAGUAUAUACGUAUAUGCAAAUGAAUCCUUACCCGUCCGAUCAUUAUGAAUUCUAUUACGCUUACCCGUUACCCGUGAGAUCAAUCUUGAGUCAACUAAAG